UACGAAGGGGGCUAGCGUUGUUCGGAUUUACUGGGCGUAAAGCGCACGUAGGCGGUUCGUUAAGUCGGGGGUGAAAGCCUGGAGCUCAACUCCAGAACUGCCUUCGAUACUGGCGAUCUCGAGUCCGGAAGAGGUGAGUGGAACUCCUAGUGUAGAGGUGGAAUUCGUAGAUAUUAGGAAGAACACCAGUGGCGAAGGCGGCUCACUGGUCCGGUACUGACGCUGAGGUGCGAAAGCGUGGGGAGCAAACAGG
rnacentral:rRNA from 1 species